GGGGCAGUCAAGGUUUCGACGGGGAUUUUGAAGCCGGAGAAGCGAGCCGCAUGGUAAUGCGUUAAAUGGCCAAAUUAAAAUUAAACGCUAACGAAAAUUUAGCUUACGCUGCCUAAUGACAGCAGUCGGCUCUAGUGCACUCACACAUUAGAAUCCCGGCUUCGACUAUGUGAGAAACGACACGUGCAAAGCUUUGAGCACGCGGGCGUAUUAUGAAGCUACCAAGACCCUUAGGGUGCAUGCUCCCGACCGGUUGCGGGAAUCUUAAAUAACAUGCUACGCUCGUAGAAGGACGGGGGAGAGGUUUUCGGACACGGGUUCGACUCCCGUCUGCUCCACUU
rnacentral:tmRNA from 1 species